rnacentral:tRNA from 1 species
ACUUAAAUAGCUUAUAUUAUUAGAGCAUAACACUGAAGAUGUUAAGGAAGUUGUUUAACUUUUAAGUA